rnacentral:rRNA from 1 species
GACGAACGCUGGCGGCGUGCUUAACACAUGCAAGUCGAACGGUAAGGCCCUUCGGGGUACACGAGUGGCGAACGGGUGAGUAACACGUGGGUGAUCUGCCCUGCACUUCGGGAUAAGCCUGGGAAACUGGGUCUAAUACCGGAUAGGACCCUGGGAUACAUGUCCUGGGGUGGAAAGCUUUUGCGGUGUGGGAUGGGCCCGCGGCCUAUCAGCUUGUUGGUGGGGUGAUGGCCUACCAAGGCGACGACGGGUAGCCGGCCUGAGAGGGUGACCGGCCACACUGGACUGAGAUACGGCCCAGACUCCUACGGGAGGCAGCAGUGGGGAAUAUUGCACAAUGGGCGCAAGCCUGAUGCAGCGACGCCGCGUGAGGGAUGACGGCCUUCGGGUUGUAAACCUCUUUCAGCACCGACGAAGCGCAAGUGACGGUAGGUGCAGAAGAAGGACCGGCCAACUACGUGCCAGCAGCCGCCGUAA